CCUACGGGUGGCAGCAGUCGAGAAUCAUUCACAAUGGGGGAAACCCUGAUGGUGCGACGCCGCGUGGGGGAAUGAAGGUCUUCGGAUUGUAAACCCCUGUCAUGUGGGAGCAAAUUAAAAAGAUAGUACCACAAGAGGAAGAGACGGCUAACUCUGUGCCAGCAGCCGCGGUAAUACAGAGGUCUCAAGCGUUGUUCGGAAUCACUGGGCGUAAAGCGUGCGUAGGCUGUUUCGUAAGUCGUGUGUGAAAGGCGCGGGCUCAACCCGCGGACGGCACAUGAUACUGCGAGACUAGAGUAAGGGAGGGGGAACCGGAAUUCUCGGUGGAGCAGUGAAAUGCGUAGAUAUCGAGAGGAACACUCGUGGCGAAGGCGGGUUCCUGGACAUUAACUGACGCUGAGGCACGAAGGCCAGGGGAGCGAAAGGGAUUAGAUACCCGUGUAGUC
rnacentral:rRNA from 1 species